rnacentral:misc_RNA from 1 species
UGAAGAUAAAAACAACUCUAUAGAUUUAGAUCUAGAUCAUGUUCUCCGAUACAAUAUUACAAAGAUGAGCUGGAUGAAAUGAGCUUCUCAUUCACUAGAAUAACUGCUUUUGUUUAUAUACAAGAGGAAGAAAGAAGAGAAUAGAUUAGUGGGAACAACUGGCAAAUAAACGAACUAUCUAAACUAGCCAACUAGUUUAAAUGAUAUUACAAGCAGCUAACUAGCUAAGCUAACUGAUAGCUCUGCUACAACAUACAAUCAUCUUCAUCUCUUCUUUUGCUUGAUAGCACUAUCAUUUCUUUAGGAUUGAAAAUUUCAAGAUCUACUGCAGCAAAAUCCUCUUCCAUAAGUCACAUAAUACAUGCUUUAACUAAAAAAUACGAGUAGCUUAUGGUUUCCAACGUACCGGAGGUGGUGGUGGGGUGGGGAACAUUGGAGGAACAACUGAGAAAUGGUGGUUUUGUCAAUCCCAG